rnacentral:rRNA from 1 species
CCUACGGGUGACAGCAGUAGGGAAUAUUGCUCAAUGGGGGAAACCCUGAAGCAGCAACGCCGCGUGGAGGAUGAAGGUUCUCGGAUUGUAAACUCUCUUUGUUAGAGAAGAUAAUGACGGUAUCUAACGAAUAAGCAACGGCGAACUCCGUGCCAGCAGCCGCGGUAAUACGGAGGCUGCCAGCGUUACUCGGAAUCACCGGGCGUAAAGGGCGCGUAGGCGGGAUAGCAAGUCAGAUGUGAAAUCCUAUGGCUUAACCAUAGAACUGCAUUUGAAACUGUUAUUCUAGAGUAUGGGAGAGGUAGGUGGAAUUCUUGGUGUAGGGGUAAAAUCCGUAGAGAUCAAGAAGAAUACUCAUUGCGAAGGCGACCUGCUAGAACAUAACUGACGCUGAUGCGCGAAAGCGUGGGGAGCAAACAGGAUUAGAUACCCCAGUAGUC